rnacentral:rRNA from 1 species
GACGAACGCUGGCGGCGUGCUUAACACAUGCAAGUCGAACGGAAAGGCCCUGCUUUUGUGGGGUGCUCGAGUGGCGAACGGGUGAGUAACACGUGAGUAACCUGCCCUUGACUUUGGGAUAACUUCAGGAAACUGGGGCUAAUACCGGAUAGGAGCUCCUGCUGCAUGGUGGGGGUUGGAAAGUUUCGGCGGUUGGGGAGGGACUCGCGGCUUAUCAGCUUGUUGGUGGGGUAGUGGCUUACCAAGGCUUUGACGGGUAGCCGGCCUGAGAGGGGGACCGGCAGCAAGGGGGGGGAGGGGAGGCGGCGAGGGCUGCGGGGGGAGGCAGGGGGGGGGAUUGCGCAGGGGGGGGGGGGGGGAUGCAGGAGCGCUGCGGGGGGGAGGGCGGGGGGCGGGGGGUGGAGAGCUGCCGCUGGGGACGAAGAGGGAGUGACGGUAGGGGGGGAAGAAGCACCGGCUAACUCCGUG